GGGGUAAUUUUAAUUAAUUAUAUAAAUAAUAAAAAAAAUUUUAAUUAUAAAUAUUGUAAUGGGGGUUAAAGUAUUUUAUAAGAAAAAAUUUUAAAAUUUAUAGUGAAUUAGUAUUGUAAAUGAAAAUUGAAAUAAAUGAAAAUUAAUUAAUUAAUAAGUAAAUUUAAUUUAUUGUAUCUUGUGUAUCAGAGUUUAUUAAAAGUAAUUUUUGAAUAAAAAAUUCUCGAAUUUAAAAGAGUUAAUUAAUUAAGAAAAUUAUUGUUUUAUAAAUAUUUUUAAUAAUUAAUUUGAAAUGAAAUGUUAAUCGUUUUUAAAUAUAUCUAGUUUUUUUAGAAAUAAAUUUAAUUUAUAAUUAUAUAUUAUUUAUAAAAUUAAAUAUUUAAUUUUAUAAGAAAUAUAAUUUAAUAUUUUAAGGGAUAAUCUUUAAAUUAAAUUUUUAUAAUAAUUUAAUAGUUAAUUUUAAAAUUUUUAAAAUUUAUAUUGUUUAUAAAUUAUAUUUUUUUAUAAAAAAUUUUAUUUAUCAUAAAAUUUUUAAUUAAAAUUUAAAUUUUUAUAAAAAAAUAAUUUUAAAUUUAAUAAAAUUAGAUAUAAUGAUAAAAUUAGUAUAAUAAAAGUAAAUUAAUAAUUAAUUUAUUAAAAAUUAAAAUAAAGGAAUUCGGCAAAUAUUUAUAUUCACUUGUUUAUCAAAAACAUGUCUUUUUGAAUAAUAAUUUAAAGUCGAAUCUGCCCACUGAUAAAAUUAUUAAAGGGCUGCAGUAUAUUGACUGUACAAAGGUAGCAUAAUCAUUAGUCUUUUAAUUGGAGACUUGUAUGAAUGAUUUGAUGAAAUAUAAACUGUCUCUAUUAUUAUAAUUUGAAUUUAAUUUUUUAGUAAAAAAGCUAAAAUAUUUAAAAAAGACGAGAAGACCCUAUAGAGUUUUAUAAUUAAAUUUAUUAAAAUUUUUUAUAAAUAUUGAAUAAAAAUAAUUUUAAUUAUUUUAUUGGGGUGAUAAAAAAAUUAGUUAAACUUUUUUUAAAUUUAUAUACUAAUAAGUAAAAAAAUGAUCCAUAUAUUAUGAUUAUAAGAAAAAAUUACCUUAGGGAUAACAGCGUAAUUUUUUUUUUUAGUUCAAAUAAGAAAAAAAGUUUGCGACCUCGAUGUUGGAUUAAGAUAAAAUUUAAAUGCAGAAGUUUAAAAUUUUGAUCUGUUCGAUCAUUAAAAUCUUACAUGAUCUGAGUUCAAACCGGUGUAAGCCAGGUUGGUUUCUAUCUUUUUAUACAUAAAAUAUUUUAGUACGAAAGGAUUAAAUAUUUAAAAAAUUUUUAAAAUAUGAAUUUUAUUAAUUAAGUAUAUA
rnacentral:rRNA from 1 species